ACUCGCUUGGUGAAAUUGGUAAACACGGCAGAUUCAAAAUCUGCUCCUUCUGGGUUAUCGGUUCAAGUCCGGUAGCGAGUA
rfam:Klebsormidium nitens mitochondrial DNA, scaffold: kfl01814, whole genome shotgun sequence.